rnacentral:rRNA from 1 species
CGCCCGCCGCGCGCGGCGGGCGGGGCGGGGGCACGGGGGGAACGCGAAGAACCUUACCUACUCUUGACAUCCAGAGAACUUUCCAGAGAUGGAUUGGUGCCUUCGGGAACUCUGAGACAGGUGCUGCAUGGCUGUCGUCAGCUCGUGUUGUGAAAUGUUGGGUUAAGUCCCGCAACGAGCGCAACCCUUAUCCUUUGUUGCCAGCGGUUAGGCCGGGAACUCAAAGGAGACUGCCAGUGAUAAACUGGAGGAAGGUGGGGAUGACGUCAAGUCAUCAUGGCCCUUACGAGUAGGGCUACACACGUGCUACAAUGGCGCAUACAAAGAGAAGCGACCUCGCGAGAGCAAGCGGACCUCAUAAAGUGCGUCGUAGUCCGGAUUGGAGUCUGCAACUCGACUCCAUGAAGUCGGAAUCGCUAGUAAUCGUGGAUCAGAAUGCCACGGUGAAUACGUUCCCGGGUCUUGUACACACCGA